AACAGUCAUACACAUGCACUCGCAAUUUAGUGCUGGUUCACAGAAUCAACAGCAACAACAUAAUGGCUUUAUCCAAAUCAGCCUCAGCAAACACUCGGAACCUAGAAGAUUGACUGUUAUUACCUUGGAAACAGGGCCCAUGUGUAUUCUUGUCACAUUUAUUCUUCAUGCCUGACAUCCUUCAGGUCUUAUGCAAAAAACAAAUAUUUCCAUGUACCUCUGAGGAUAGCCAACUGAGUUGCCUCCUACACCUGAGUAGCAGAGAGGAAGCUAUAAAACACAUCGAUGCAAGAAACCUGAUGGUGCCAAAGGCGAGACUCUGAGAUGACAACAGUCACAUUUGUCUUCUUAACACUGUUCACUUGGAUGGUGUCAUCUGGCACAUGGGUCAGACUAGACCAGUGUGCUGAGAUCAGUCAGUAUGGGCACGAUGAAGAAAAAAAGGGCAUCAGCUCAAAUGCAUCAUAUAAAAACGGUGUUAUACAUGACAAAACAAAAGUGACAGUGACAUGUGAGAGAGCUCCUGGAAUGAAAGUUGCCUUAGAGAGGAAGUUCACACAGGACAGGAUCAUAAAAGACUAUACCCUAUUUGCUGGUUUGACUUUAAAUUGCAUCCUCUAUAAUGGCUCUGUGAAUCUCUUGCAAAGAGUGAAGGAGACUGUGAAUAGAGAGAAGCAAAGCAUUCCUGUCUGCAAGUGUCAAUUCUGGCAGUAUUUGGUGUAUUUCCUAUCUAGGACCGGACGUCUCCUACUCAUAAUAGAGAUAAAAACUGAUAAUCAUAGAAGUAUCCGUCCUUCAGCUGUUCUGAGGUCUAUGGAUCAGAGCUCCCACAUCAUUACCCAUGUUCUAGUGGACCACUGGAAAACAGUGGAUUGUAUCUGUAUCUGCAAGGCAUUCCACCUUGAGAUGAAAAUCCUGCAAGGCUUUUUGUGCAGAAACUUUGCACCUGCAUUUCCAGAAUUCAUCUUUAACCUGUCUGAGAGCAAAGUUAGGCCGAUGUCUUCAGAAGAAUCAAACAGGGCUUUUGUCAGGAUCUACUAUGUGCAGAUGCCAUCUAAGUUUUAUCUACCACACUGUCCAAAAGAAGCCUUUCUAACACAAACAGGCAGGAUGAAGAGUGUGCAGCCUAUGGACACCAGCAGAUGGGUUGCAAGAUUUUUUCUGGCAGCUGCGUUACUGCUUGGAAUCUACAUGACAAGAAUAAAAAUAUCCCCAAACAGAGUCCAUCCUGCUCAUGGCAGUAAUUCCACAAUGGUAAUGCUUUUUACCAUGACACUACGAUGUUUUUCAUCCAUCCAUGAGCCCACUGAGUUGUCCCGGAUAGCUGUCGGGAUCUCUUUUGUCAUCUGCCUCUCUUACACUCUGGAAAGUACUGUACAUGUGUUAAUUGCCUGCAGGGCUGCUCAUACUGUCAUGAAAUUGUUUUGUACAACACAGCAGCAAUUUAGGGCUCUGCCUGUUACUGUGUUGUUUAUCUGGUUGACUUUCAAUCCUCCUUUUCCAAAUAACAAUGUAAAACACUGGUUUGACGUCAUACUUGCUAAUGAUACUGUAGGAUCAACACUAAGGUACUGGGCUGUGCUAGGGAAGAUAGAGCUACUGGCUACUUUAUUCUGUGUGUUUAUCUCACUUCCCAGUUUGUUACAAUCCAUCCUGAUGAAACUGAAUUUUUUGAAUGUCCUUUUAAAUUUGCAACUCAUAACCUGUCUACACAAUUCAAGGGUACCAACAAAGUAUGUACUUAUUAUUAAGAUCAGCAGGUUAAUUUAGACUUCCUAAACCUGCCAUACUGUAUGAAAUGUUCAAUAUGAUGCGAAAAUUGUGAAAAAUGUAGAUACAAAGAUCAUUGAACCUAUAAUGUUCUGUUUUUCCUUCAUUCCCACCCUCUAAACAUGCAGCUUUACCAACCCAGUUUAUCCAACAAAAGCAUUUUAACUUUGUGGUCUCAUUCAAACAGUUGCAUCCCCCCCCCCCCCCCCCCCCCAUGGCUGAGGAGAUGGUGCUCUUUGUGAAUAUUUAACUUUGGGCAUAAUUACACUUACCUGACACUACCAUAAUAAACAUUCUAGUUAUUGAAGUCAAUGACAGUUGAAUGUAAUAAGGCUAAAUCUUUAUUAGCCCUACCACCAUUUUACACAAUUUCUGACAGCAAGGAACACUUGUAUGGACACUUGUUUUUAUUUGUAUUAAUGUCUUAUAAAAUGGUCAUAUCCCACUAAUAAUUUUAAAUAAAUAUAUACACAUAGAAAGAAAGAAUCAAAUAAAUUAAUCAAUACUGAGCUACCCUCUAUAGUGUGCUAAGAUUAUGCUUUGUUCUACAAAGGAUGGCCUCUUAACAAUGAAGAAGAAUGAACAAUGAACAGCAGCUCACAGUGUUGCUUUGUUAAGCAUUUCAUAUAUAGGGUUGCAGGAAAUUUGACUUGAUAAGUUUUAUUUGUUGCAAAUGUUUAAAAGUUUAAAUGUUAAACAUUUAAAGUUUCUGUUUAGCAACUGGUUUAAUAAAAAAAAACAGAAAUAUAUAUAACCAGUUGUCCCUAAACGUUAAUGAAGCUGCAUGUUGUAAGAUAAAAGGGAACCAUAUUUAGAUUAAAUGCAAUCACAAAACAUAAAUUGUAAUGCACACAAUAAAAUCAUAAUUUUGACACAUUCCAGACUCCAUACAUACUGAUUAAUUUCAGUGGCAAUAGGCAAAUUAAAUAAAUCAAAUGAGAAAAUGUUUUAAUAACAAUUUGUUUGUUUGUAUUACUUUAUUAAUCCCACAACGGGGAAAUUCCAUUGUCACAGCAGCAAUUACGUGAAAUAAAUAAAUACAGAUAUAAAAAAAAAAAACUAUGGUUAAGUGGUAAAGCUAUGGUAUGGUGGUAAUUUGAAAAACAGAAACUACAACAUUGAUCAGGUGUUGUGUUGUGUUGGGUCUGACAGCGGCAGGGAUGAAAGACCUUCGGAACCUCUCCUUCUUACACUGUGGGUGUAACAGUCUCCUGCUGAAGGAGCUACUCAGGGACCCCACAGUGUCAUGUAGGGGGUGAGAGGUGUUGUCCAUGAUCACUUUCUCAAUGGAGUCCAGAGGACAGUCCAGGACAGAGCUCGCUCUCCUGAUCAGUUUAUUGAGUCUCUUCCUGUCCCUGUCCGUACUGCCCCCUCUCCAGCAGACCACAGCAUAGAAGAUGGCUGAAACAACCACAGAGUCAUAAAAAGUCUUGAGGAGAGCCCUGCUGACUGAUUUUACAAUAAUGUGAAUAAAGACCAAUAGAUAAAUUGAAAUGCUUUUCAUUCAGAAUCAUCUGACAAAAAAGCAAAAUGUACUCACUAGUGAAGACAUAUGGUAGCCUGUCCACACUUAUUUUGAGCCUCAGCAUUACUUUAAUUUUUUUGGAAAUGAUGUGCAUUCUGCAUUUUCAGUUACUUCUCAUAUUGGGCCACAGUGAACAAAUAGUAGUAUAGUUUGAUACAGUUCAUC
rnacentral:lncRNA from 15 species